rnacentral:misc_RNA from 1 species
UUUCCGUAGGUGAACCUGCGGAAGGAUCAUUAUUGUAUAACCGCGGUUCGAGGGCAGUCGCUGACCCGAAAGGACGUGCACGCCCGAGUGCCCGCGCACACCUCUAUCUCACCCCUCUGUGCACCACCGCGUGGGUCCCCCUUUGGCUUGUUCGGAGGGGGGCUUACGUUUUCACACAAACAUUGUAUGCAGUGUAGAUUGUAUUUUUUGUUUUUGCGAUCACGCAAUCAAUACAACUUUCAACAACGGAUCUCUUGGCUCUC